rnacentral:rRNA from 1 species
UNUGACUUGAGUGCAGAAGGGGAGAGNGGAAUUCCAUGUGUAGCGGUGAAAUGCGUAGAUAUAUGGAGGANCACCAGUGGCGAAAGCGGCACUCUGNUCUGUCACUGACGCUGAGGCCCGAAAGCGUGGGUAGCGAACAGGAUUAGAUACCCUGGUAGUNCACGCCGUAAACGAUGAGUGCUAGGUGUUAGGCCCUUUCCGGGGCUUAGUGCCGGAGCUAACGCAAUAAGCACUCCGCCUGGGGAGUACGACCGCAAGGUUGAAACUCAAAGGAAUUGACGGGGGCCCGCACAAGCGGUGGAGCAUGUGGUUUAAUUCGAAGCAACGCGAAGAACCUUACCAGGUCUUGACAUCCCGAUGCUAUUCUUAGAGAUAGGAAGUUACUUCGGUACAUCGGAGACAGGUGGUGCAUGGUUGUCGUCAGCUCGUGUCGUGAGAUGUUGGGUUNNNNNNNNCAACGAGCGCAACCCUUAUUGUUAGUUGCCAUCAUUAAGUUGGGCACUCUAGCGAGACUGCCGGUAAUAAACCGGAGGAAGGUGGGGAUGACGUCAAAUCAUCAUGCCCCUUAUGACCUGGGCUACACACGUGCUACAAUGGUCGGUACAACGAGUUGCGAGCCGGUGACGGCAAGCUAAUCUCUGAAAGCCGAUCUCAGUUCGGAUUGGAGGCUGCAACUCGCCUCCAUGAAGUCGGAAUCGCUAGUAAUCGCGGAUCAGCACGCCGCGGUGAAUACGUUCCCGGGCCUNGU